rnacentral:ncRNA from 1 species
UAAAAGUUUUAUUUUAGCUUAAAAUAUUAAUUUAUAAUUUUUUUUACAUGUAAAUUUUAGUGUAUAAAAUUUUAUGUUUUAAAAAUUUAAAAUUUAUAAAUUAUUCGCAGUUUAUUAUUUUUAAUAAUUUAAGAAAUUAAGAUUAAGAAAUUUAUUUUAAUAUUAACAAAAUUUGUGCCAGCAGUUGCGGUUAUACAAAUAAUAUAAUUAAUAUUUAUUAAUUAAUAAUUAAUUGAUUUAUUUUUAAAUAAAAGUUAAAUUUAUUAAGUGAAAUUUUAAAUUUUAUUUAGUUUAUAAAUAAUAUUUUGAAGUUAUUAAAUUUUUUUUUAAACUAGGAUUAGAUACCCUAUUAUUUUAAAUGUAAAAUUUUUUAUUAAAUUAGUAUUAGUUAUUUUCUUGAAAUUUAAAAAUUUUGGCGGUAUUUUAGUCUAUUCAGAGGAACCUGUUCUAUAAUUGAUAGUCCACGAUUUAUUUUACUUAUUUUUAUUAGUUUAUAUAUCAUCGUAAUUUGAAUAUUUUAUAAGAAUUUAAAUAUUCAAAAUUUUUUAUUAUAAAAAAAAUCAGAUCAAGGUAUAGCUUAUAAAUAAGAAGAAAUGGGUUACAAUAAAUUAAUUUAAUAUGGAUAAAAAAUUUAAAUGUUUUUUUGAAGGAGGAUUUGAAAGUAAUAUAAUUUAAUUUAAUUAUAUGAUUUUAGCUCUAAAAUAUGUACAUAUCGCCCGUCGCUUUCAUAUAAAAUGAAAUAAGUCGUAACAAAGUAGAUGUACUGGAAAGUGUAUCUAGAAUGA